rnacentral:rRNA from 1 species
UACGUAGGGGGCAAGCGUUGUCCGGAAUUAUUGGGCGUAAAGAGCGCGUAGGCGGUCCGGUAAGUCGGCUGUGAAAGUCAAGGGCUCAACCCUUGAAAGCCGGCCGAUACUGCCGGACUAGAGUCCGGAAGAGGCGAGUGGAAUUCCUGGUGUAGCGGUGGAAUGCGCAGAUAUCAGGAGGAACACCGGUGGCGAAGGCGGAUCUCUGGGCCAUUACUGACGCUGAGGAGCGAAAGCGUGGGGAGCGAACAGG